rnacentral:rRNA from 1 species
GAUUUAACUGGAGAGUUUGAUCCUGGCUCAGAACGAACGCUGGCGGUAUGCCUAACACAUGCAAGUCGA